rnacentral:tRNA from 1 species
GGGCGCAUAGCUCAGUUGGUAGAGCACCGUCUUGAUAAGGCGGGUGUCAGAGGUUCGAUCCCUCUUGCGCCCA